rnacentral:lncRNA from 1 species
UCUUAAGGAUGUACGUUUAUUUACAUUUUUAGAUGCAAUCACAAACCCUUAGCGAUACUAGUGUCCAGUGCUGGGGAAGAGCUGGCCGGAGGCAGGGAGGGCAGAGAAGAACAUUGAGAUAAUGUCCUUACUACUUCAUAUUUGUGGAAGGUAAUUCAGCUGGGCACCUUAGUGGAUAACCUGACUGUUGAUCCAGCCACCGGAGAUAUUUUGGCAGGAUGCCAUCCUAACCCCAUGAAGCUCUUGAUCUAUAACCCGGAGGAUCCCCCAGGAUCAGAAGUACUACGCAUCCAGGAUCCUUUGUCAGAUAACCCCCGGGUGAGCACACUGUAUUCGAACAACGGCUCUGUGCUUCAGGGCAGCACCGUGGCUUCUGUGUAUCAUAAAAAAAUGCUCAUAGGCACAAUAUUUCACAAAGCUCUCUAUUGUGAACUCUAGAUCUUCCUAAAAAUCUUUAUAUUUGACAGAAGUAAAAUUGUAAUUGUUUGAUAAGGGGAACUGUAAUUCUUUACAAUUACCAGUGACAGUAUGUAUGGCUUUUCUUAUGGAGAAAAGUAAGUGAGUAUAGAAACUUACAUACACAAAAUCAAGAGUCAGGUUAGUAGCAAGGCAACCAGAAACCCAAGUGUUCUGCUACAUUUAAUAUGCCCAACAUUCUGUAUACGCUGUGAUGUGUAGGCUGUGACCAUUUAGGUUUCCCACUCACUUGAACUUGUGCCCCUUGUUAUCUAUCCAGCAAUGUCACCUCCUACACCUGUGAUAGUCUGAGGCUUCUGCAGUCCAUAGAAAUAAAGAAGCUAGUGGCUAACUAUUUACAGUUCUUGUUCUGUUUUCUACCUUGUGUACAACACCAUCUUCCAGGCACAUAUUCUGACCUGUAACUCUCAUCUUUAAACUCCAAAGCCUGCCUUGAACAUGGAUUUGCUGCAAAAUAUAGUCAUACAGGGAGGAGGACUCUGGAAAUUUAAUAUACAUAAAUCUCACCAGCU